AGUAAAGCUAUAUGAUGUUUAUUUGAUUUAAAUACUUAGUCAGGUCUGGAAAGAAGCAGCUAUCUUAAGUCAUGCAUGCAUAUAGAUUUUUAUGAAU
rnacentral:SRP_RNA from 1 species